CAGUAGCCACGGUAAUACGGAGGGUGCAAGCGUUAAUCGGAAUUACUGGGCGUAAAGCGCACGCAGGCGGUCUGACAAGUCAGAUGUGAAAUCCCCGGGCUUAACCUGGGAACUGCAUUUGAAACUGUCAGGCUGGAGUCUUGUAGAGGGGGGUAGAAUUCCAGGUGUAGCGGUGAAAUGCGUAGAGAUCUGGAGGAAUACCGGUGGCGAAGGCGGCCCCCUGGACAAAGACUGACGCUCAGGUGCGAAAGCGUGGGGAGCAAACAGGAUUAGAUACCCCUGUAGUCCUGUCUCUUAUACA
rnacentral:rRNA from 1 species